CCGCAGCGGCUAGAGGUUCCAUUGCAGACCCGGAGGCCGUGGCUGUGGUUCGCGGCGGUGCUGUCGCGGGCGCCCUGGCGCAGCCCACGCAGGGGCUCCUGAGGGGAGACAUAAGACAUCAGUCAGUACAUGUGAGGUGUGCAUUGGAUUGAUCCAGAAAGUCAGGACGACUCCAAGUGGAAAGGCCUCCAGAGACAGGAGACAGUAAAAGAAAUGGCCUCUCUCCUCUGUCAGAGUGGAGUCCCGAGCUCCCAGAAAUGCCACAUGAUGGACAAACGCUUGGGGGAAAAAAAAAAAAAAGGAGACCUCAGUCGGACACAAAAGCAGGAGCUUUAAAAGAAAAAAUAAGAGAUAAGUUGAACUUCACCAAAAAAUAAGCGUUUCUGGUCUUUGAAAGACACUUAAAAUGAAAAGGCAAGCCAUCGAUGGGGAAAAUACUCAGAAUAAUGGAUCUGACAGAGGGCUGUAUCUAGAAUAUAUGAAGAUAUUUUAAAAUCCAGUAAUUUGACAUAAAGAUGGUAGCCAGCCUGACACACAAAGGAACCCGAAUGGCCAAUGGACAGGAAGGGAACCCGUAUGGCCGAUGGACAGAAAGGGAAGUGAACGUGAACAUCUCAUUGGGGAUGCCGUUAUCACCACUGGAAUAGUCAAAAACAUGGACACCAAGUAUUGGUGGGUGAGUGGAAUGGCGGGAACCCACAUACACGGUCGAUGGGAGCUGCACCCUUUGGAAAUCAUUUCACAGUUUGUGCUCCAUCCUGGCCAAACCCACAGCUGGAGUCUUUCCAAAAACAGUGACGGGAGUUUCCACCAGGGAGUGCCUCAAACCAUCCCGAGAUGGGGCUGGUUGGGAUUCCAGGGAGAGGCACUCGUUGCCAGGGUGAUCCGUCCAGAGCACUUCCUAGGGGAUCUGGCAUAAGGAGGGCUGCAGUGUAUCCUCAGGACAGAUAGGACAGAUAGUGUAUCUUUGGGACAGACGGCAAGAUGGGGAUUCCACCCAGGUCUGUCUGCAGCGAGUUGAUAUGAGAGUUUAAGGAAUUUGGACCAGGGCUGCUUUGUUUCAGGGUUUUGGGCAAUGACCUAAACACCUUUAUCAGUGCCUGGGAAUGCUCAAGGCCCAGCUUGAGUUCAGGCCUGCAGGGAAAACCUGCAACUGGCCGGGCUGCAGAGUGGUCAGGGCACGGAAAGCCAGAAGCUGGGGACACACCUGCUGUAUGAUCCAGCCGUUCGUCUUUACCUGGGAGAAAUGGCACCACCUGGCUGAACAUAACUUCUUACACUCCCAUGAGUCCUCCUGGACAGGUGCUGUGACCUCGUGCAGCCUUGGGGACCCUGACACUCCCACGGACAGGCCAAGGGGUUUGCCUGGGCCCUGUGGGCACAGAGCCCCUUGAGAUGGGUUUCCCUAUGCAGCCCCCCACCCCCCACCGGGGACCCAUGGCACUGCAGCCCUCACCCCCCCUCUAGGGACCCACAACACUGCAGCCCUCGCCCCCCUCCGGGGUCCCACAGCACUGCAGCCCUCGCCCCCCAUCGGGGACCCACAGCACUGCAGCCACGCCCAGGCCACCGCCUCCAAACACAGGGCCGCUGCUGUUUCUGUGAACAGAUACUUCUUGCAGAUGUCAAUGGUUAAUGGAUGGGGAGGUGACCGCCCAAGCAGAAGCCGACCCUCUUCAUGAAGGGGCCACAGGUCACCCCGAAGCAGAAAUCCAUAGAACAGCCAAGGCCACAGCGGAACCGAGCAGGCCACGCCUCUGCCUCUGGGCCGCUCAGGGCCAGGCCUCCCUGACCCCACUGGCUCUAUUGUGAGGACUCAGGGUGGAGCUCUGCUGGGCUCAGUGGCCUUCACAGCCGGGGUCCACAGACCCGGGUCCUACGGGCAGUACUGUGCUCACCUAGAGGCCACGGUCCAUGCCCUGUCUCCAGCAGGCCCAAGUCACUUGUCCAUGGCGAAGGCCCGGCCUUGCUUCAGGCCCCGGGCGCGCUCCCCCUGCUCCCCCUGCCCACCGUUUCUUCCCAGGUGACAGAGGCGGGAGAGCAGGCGAGCCACGUGCCGGGCGCCGCAGCAGGGGGCACUCCAGGCUGGCGCCCCUCUGCCUCUCCGUGGGCUCUGACCUUUCUUCUCCCUGCCUGGGCAGCCUCCUUCAGGUUGGGGAGUCUUUUGUUGACCCCUGGAUUAAAGUCCUAAUCAGGAAUGACCCGGAAGAGGUCUUAUGAGGCUUUCCUCAAGAGAAGAAAAUCUGUCCCUGAGUAUCAGGAAGUGGCCCCUUUCCCUGCACCGCAGUCUUCUGUGACCAGCGGCUCACACAGCGAAGGAGGGGCUGGCGGCCCCCACAGGCCACUGCCCCGAGGCCGCCACGAGAGGGCAGGAGAGCCCUUCCUGGGAGCUCUGUGCCACGGGGAAACGCAGCCCCGCCAAGCACAGCAUGGAUGUUUCCAGCAGGGAAUGAAGAGAGAGGCCCCAGCACAUGAGAGAAGAGCACACUGGGCGGCCCCUGUCGGAGCCUCUCCUGUCCCCAGCGACCCCUGAGAGCAGGCCCUGGGCCUCUGCGGCCCCUCCCGGAGCCACUCUUCAACUGCUGACCUGCUCCCAGCUCUUCUGUGCCCCGCCCAGCUCCCUGCAAAACCUCACCUGAGGGGAAGGAGGCCCUGUUUGGGCUCAGACGCAGCAGGUGCAGCUUGUGGUCCUGGGGCCACACCUGUUAGAGCCCAUCCUUCUACCCCUGCUGGGCCCUGAGUGUCGUCCGUCCCCACAGAACUCAGCAGGGUCAGGUCUGGGCACUCCAGGCCGCCAGCCCCCUGAGUGAGCCCUGGGCCGGAGGUAGUUGUGGGUCACAGGCACCCCAGCCAGAACACCCACAGUGGGUAGAUGUGUGGGGACCGGAUGUGGGUCCUCUCCUGAGAGACGUGCAGAUGGGGAGAGGCUGGGCAGUUCUCAGCACAGCUGGAGCAUCUACCUGUCACCACCUCGGAGCCUCCUGGCCCCGUGGGGGCGGCCCUGGGAGCAGGGUCGGCAGUGAAGAGCAGAGAAAGGCAGUUGGGGAUGUUGCCACUGUCCCCCGAGACCACCCUGCCAUGGAGACGAGGGAGCUGUCCCUUCGCGGAAGGGGGCUGGCCAGCAAGAAGGACAGAGAGUGGACUGGCCGAGGACCGCUGAGCUCAGGACCCAAGGAGGACUCUUCUAGGAGACGAGAGAGCGAACGCCAGGGACCCUGUGCAGGCCUGCUCCUCCGUUUGCAAGCAGGCUCCCUCCCCGAGGCCGUUCAGAAGCAUUCCUCAGCGGGUCCUACACGUUUCCUCUCCCAUGUCAAGUUUAGAAGCAGUGUCAAGACCCACAGCAGUCCUGCGGGAGUUUUAAGGGAUGCACGGAGUUUAUGGGGACAGUUUGGAAAAUUGACAUUCAUGUGACUUAGAGUCCUACUACUUGAAAAUGGAUUCCAGCUCUCAACGAAUUUAGAGCUUUGGCAAAAUUUUUAAGAUUUCUUUGAUGUCCGAUGUGCUCAUUUCUUGGUUUGUUCUUGAGUAUUUUGUGGAUUUUUAUGAAAUCCACAAAGUUUUUGUUAUAAUGAAUGGGACACUUUCCCAUAAAAUGUUGUAAUUCUGUAUUGCUGUUUUAGUAAACACUGUUGAUUGAUGUAUAUUGAUGUUACACUUGGUCACUUGUAAUAGUUUGUCCGUUCAUUAUUUUGAACUUUUUAGGUAAACAGUCAUAUAAUUAUGCAAAUAAUUAUAGUUGUGUCUCUGCCUUUCUAAUAUUUAUACUUUGUGUAUAUUAUCAUGUUGGCCAGGACUCAAGCGUCUUUCUCUUGUUUCUGACUAAUGCGAAUGAUUCUAAUGCAGGGGUUUCCAAACUGGUGGCCGGGGGGCCAAAUCCAGCCAAUGGUCUCUUCUUGUAAAUAAAGUUUUAUUGGAACACAGUUACACACAUUUUUCUACAUAUUGUCUGAUGGCUACUGUCACGCCACAGCAAUGCUGUUAAAUAGUCCAGACAGAGGCGGUAUUGCCCGAAAAACCUAGAAUAUUCACCAUCUGAGCUUUUACGGGAAAAUUUGCUAAUAUCUGUUCUCAUGCAUUAAAUACAAUGUUUGUUACAGGUUAAGGAAGUUUCUGACUAUUUUUAGCUUUCUGAAUAUCUUGUGGUUGUGUGUGCUUUAAAAUUAGGACUAAAUAUUAAAUUUACCAGUUGCUUGUUAGGGGCCUAUCUUUUGAGAUGCCCAAAGUUUCCCUUUUUUAGUCUCUUCAUGUAGUGAGUUGUACUAACAGAUUCUCUAAUGUUGAACCGUCUUUGCUUUCCGGAGAUAGACUUUACUUGCUCCUGGUGGAUUGGAUUCUGUUUGUUAAUACUUUUAUUUUUGGGUAAUUACAUCCCUAUUAUAAAUAAUAUGUCAGCAUCA
ensembl:lncRNA LINC00205 long intergenic non-protein coding RNA 205